UCCAGCAGUAGUUUCAUUUAGUGCAGAGGCCAGACAAAAGCCCAUUGUUCACCAGCAGCGCAAAAUGGACAAACACAGAGAAAAAAAAAUGUCAGCAAGUGCAGGGCACGACCAUAUCUUAAAAACCACCGUAUUCAUAAAAGGCUGAAACAAGACACAACUUUGAAGCAGACUCAGUGGCAGAGGUAGAAAAAUCCAGCAAAAUCAUUUCGGUGUUGGAUGAAGGCUGACACAGAAAUAAGGUGAAGACUUGGAUUUCACUUCUUUUCCAAUUCCUAAAUGGAGAGCUCAUGAGUCAACAGCUACUACUCAGAGUUACCACUUGCUGCUUUCACCACAUCACAAAACUGGUUCCAGCACGGACUACAAUAACACACGGCCGAUUACGAUAUGAUCUGUAACCUAUCACAGCGUGACAGACUGCUUUUCCCCCUGACGAGGAUAGAGUGGACUCCCUGACACAGCCUUAACCCUCUGACAUCAAGCCAAGCGCAGGGUUACGCAACCCGCUCAACCUGCUUGACCCUGACGACAUGCAUGGCCCCUGUACACACUUCGCUGAGCAACAACACACACACCAACAUCUGAAGAGGGGUCGCAAUGAGAGUUUUCAUCGUCAUCAAACACACUGAGUGAGCUUUUAUGGCCUGUGGAUGUGGAAAUUAUCAUGCUGGAAGAGAAGACUUCCAUCAGAGCAUACUGUAAAUGUUUUUCAAACGAUAAAGGUGAUCAGUCAGAAUCAUAUAACAUUGCAGUGACUCUUCCCUUUAAGGGGACACGUGGACCCAAAAAUGUCUCCCAGAACAUAAACGAGUGGUUAUGUUUGUUUUUUUCUUUUAAUGUAUCACCCACAUAUAGCUGAAUGAUUCACAGAAUUAAGCAUGAUACUGUACGUGUUCUGUGUAUUUUGGGGGCAGCGGUAGAUAAAGCUCCGUGUUAGUGAUGGGAAGAUUGUGAAUUUGAAUCCCAGAACAGCCUGAUAUCCAAUACUGGGCUCUUGAGUAAAGCCCUUAACCCUCAAUUGUAUCCUCUUUUGAAUGUAGGUCACUUUAGAUAAAAUUGUAUGCAAAUGAAUAAAUGUAUUUACUAA